GACCUUAGUACCCUCUACUGAAGUAUGUGAGUGUUUUCCAACAUUGAAAACUAGAAAGAACUUCCAAUGACAACUGUAAUCUAAUCACAGCAAGCUAUGUUGCUUUUACUAACACCAAAUUAUUCAUUGGAAAUUCUGCAAAGAUUCGAGUUGCUAUGAACACAAGACAGUUUUUGUUGCUGAACGUCUAAUCAGGUGUGGGUCUGAUGAUACAACUGUUCAGUCUGACGUAUGAAUCAGUGAACCUGCAUGGUAAUGAAUGAUGCAAACAGCCUCAAGGUCUAAGAACAAUAAAAACUGAUAACCAAAGUUUCUACCUAGAGACCGCAUACGCUAUAGCACUAAUAAGGAUAAAGGAAGUUGUAGAAGCCAAUCAUGGGAAGACAGAUGUCAAUGGUCACAGUGCCAGCUUACUUCAGAGAUCAGCAGCAGCAGGCAUCAAAAGAAGGUUAAACCAUUUCUGGUUUCCAUGUACUAAAAGUCAAUGAAAAAGCUGUUGCUACUAUUGCUUGUGAACUAGACAAGAAGGUCGGAGCCCUAAGAAAUGCACUGGGUAACAUCAGGCCUCACUAUUGAGGAUAGAAUUUUUCAGGUCAAAUUGACAGCAGAAGACACCCACUUGGAUGGUGAAGACUUUCACUGCUGAGCUUAAAUGUCAGGGCAAAAUGGGCAUCAGUCAGAUGGAGACAGGUAUGCAUCAUCUGCACACUGCUUGUGACUGGGCUAAGUGUGCCCUCUCCUACAGUACCCAGGCCAGUGUAGAAACUGAUUCUCUCCAUAAGGGAAUCCAUUUCUAUAUCUACAUUAUCCAAGCUCCUAUGCAUUUGAAGUACUGCAUUUGGACCUGUUCUGUGGCACUAUGGUUAUUGUGGAAAAGGACUUUCUAGAUGUCAGAUCCAUAUCCACAAUAUUGUCUGGUAUGGUUCAACUAAAAUCCCCAAGAUUCAGAGGCUUUGCAAGACUUCUUCAAUGGACAAAAGCUGAAUGCAAGCAUUAGCCCCAAUGAAGCCAUUGCUUACAGUGCUGUCCAUCCAGACAGUCUCUGAAGACAAGUCUGAAAAUGUUUAGGAUUUGUUUCUCUUGGACGUCGCUCUUUUUUCCAUUGGUAUGAAAACCAAAGGUGAAAUCAUGCCUGUCCUCAUCACGUAAAAUAUCAUUCAGACCAAGCAGACACAAACCUACUUACUCUGACAACCAGCUGGGUGUGCUCAUUCAGAUAUAUGAAGGCGAAAGAUCCAUGACUAAAGAUAACAAUCUACUGGAAAAGUUAGAACUCACAGGUGUACCUCCAGCACCCUGUGCUGUUCCUCAGAUUGAAGUCACUUUUGACACUGAUGCAAACAGCAUCCUCAAUGAUACUCCCACAGUACAGGAAAGGAGAACAGUAUCACCACCACUAAUGACAGGGGCUGAUUAAGCAAGAAGGAUACUGAGAAACUUCAAAGCAAGAUUAAUGAUAAGGACAAAGUGAAGAAUCUAGAAAAGUGUAAUGAUCAUCAGUUGGCAGGAUAAGAAGCAAAUUGCAGAUAAGGAAGGAUUUGAACACCAGAAGAACUAAAGAAAGUUUGCACCUGCAUCAUUAUCAAUCUACAGCAGAAGGAACACAUGCGGGCUUCCCUGGUCAAGGAGCUCCUCCCUCAGGUGGUGCUUCUUCAGGUCCCACCACUGAAUGGGUUGAU
rnacentral:lncRNA from 1 species